GACGAACGCUGGCGGCGUGCUUAACACAUGCAAGUCGAACGGUGAAGCGCCUUCCUUUUUGGUGGGUGUGGAUGAGUGGCGAACGGGUGAGUAACACGUGAGUAACCUGCCCCCUUCUUCUGGAUAACCGCAUGAAAGUGUGGCUAAUACGGGAUAUUCUGGGUCUGUCGCAUGAUGGGUCUGGGAAAGAUAUUGUUUCGGUGGGGGAUGGGCUCGCGGCCUAUCAGCUUGUUGGUGGGGUGAUGGCCUACCAAGGCGGUGACGGGUAGCCGGCCUGAGAGGGUGGACGGUCACACUGGGACUGAGACACGGCCCAGACUCAUACGGGGGGCAGCAGUGGGGAAUAUUGCACAAUGGGCGCAAGCCUGAUGCGGCGGCGCCGCGUGAGGGAUGGAGGCCUUCGGGUUGUGAACCUCUUUCGCCAGUGAAGCAGGCCUGCCUCGUUUGUGGGUGGGUUGACGGUAGCUGGAUAAGAAGCGCCGGCUAACUACGUG
rnacentral:rRNA from 1 species